rnacentral:tRNA from 1 species
GGAGAGAUGACCGAGAGGCCGAAGGUGGCGCCCUGCUAAGGCGUUGUACGUCAAAAGCGUACCGAGGGUUCGAAUCCCUCUCUCUCCGCCA